GAUGAAGAACGCAGCGAAAUGCGAUACGUAGUGUGAAUUGCUGAAUUCAGUGAAUCAUCGAAUCUUUGAACGCACAUUGCACCUCUCGGUAUUCCGGGAGGUAUGCCUGUUCGAGCGUCAUUUGUACCCUCAAGCUCUGCUUGGUGUUGGGUGUUUGUUCCGCCUCUGUGUGUGAACUCGCCUCAAAACAAUUGGCAGCCGGCGUACUUGUUUCGGAGCGCAGCACAUUUUGCGAUCCAGAUCAACGUACAGCGGCAUCCAAGAAGCCUUCUUUAACGCUCUUGACCUCGGAUCAGGUAGGGAUACCCGCUGAACUUAAGCAUAUCAAUAAGCGGAGGA
rnacentral:misc_RNA from 1 species